GACGAACGCUGGCGGCGUGCUUAACACAUGCAAGUCGAACGGUGAAGGGACCGGUUUUUGCUGGUUCUGGAUGAGUGGCGAACGGGUGAGUAACACGUGAGUAACCUGCCCCUUUCUUCUGGAUAACCGCAUGAAAGUGUGGCUAAUACGGGAUAUUCUGCGCCUGCUGCAUGGUGGGUGUGGGAAAGAUAUUGUUUCGGUGGGGGAUGGGCUCGCGGCCUAUCAGCUUGUUGGUGGGGUGAUGGCCUACCAAGGCGGUGACGGGUAGCCGGCCUGAGAGGGUGGACGGUCACACUGGGACUGAGACACGGCCCAGACUCCUACGGGAGGCAGCAGUGGGGAAUAUUGCACAAUGGGCGCAAGCCUGAUGCAGCGACGCCGCGUGAGGGAUGGAGGCCUUCGGGUUGUAAACCUCUUUCGCCAGUGAAGCAGGCCUGUCCC
rnacentral:rRNA from 1 species